rnacentral:rRNA from 1 species
CGCUGUAAACGAUGUCGAUUUGGAGGUUGUUCCCUUGAGGAGUGGCUUCCGGAGCUAACGCGUUAAAUCGACCGCCUGGGGAGUACGGCCGCAAGGUUAAAACUCAAAUGAAUUGACGGGGGCCCGCACAAGCGGUGGAGCAUGUGGUUUAAUUCGAUGCAACGCGAAGAACCUUACCUACUCUUGACAUCCAGAGAAUUUAGCAGAGAUGCUUUAGUGCCUUCGGGAACUCUGAGACAGGUGCUGCAUGGCUGUCGUCAGCUCGUGUUGUGAAAUGUUGGGUUAAGUCCCGCAACGAGCGCAACCCUUAUCCUUUGUUGCCAGCACAUUAUGGUGGGAACUCAAAGGAGACUGCCGGUGAUAAACCGGAGGAAGGUGGGGAUGACGUCAAGUCAUCAUGGCCCUUACGAGUAGGGCUACACACGUGCUACAAUGGCGUAUACAAAGAGAAGCGACCUCGCGAGAGCAAGCGGAACUCAUAAAGUACGUCGUAGUCCGGAUUGGAGUCUGCAACUCGACUCCAUGAAGUCGGAAUCGCUAGUAAUCGUAGAUCAGAAUGCUACGGUGAAUACGUUCCCGGGCCUUGUACACACCGCCCGUCACACCAUGGGAGUGGGUUGCAAAAGAAGUAGGUAGCUUAACCUUCGGGAGGGCGCUUACCACUUUGUGAUUCAUGACUGGGGUGAAGUCGUAACAAGGUAACCA